GAUGAACGCUGGCGGCGUGCUUAACACAUGCAAGUCGAACGGAAAGGCCCUGCUUUUGUGGGGUGCUCGAGUGGCGAACGGGUGAGUAACACGUGAGUAACCUGCCCUUGACUUUGGGAUAACUUCAGGAAACUGGGGCUAAUACCGGAUAGGAGCUCCUGCUGCAUGGUGGGGGUUGGAAAGUUUCGGCGGUUGGGGAUGGACUCGCGGCUCAUCAGCUUGUUGGUGGGGUAGUGGCUUACCAAGGCUUUGACGGGUAGCCGGCCUGAGAGGGUGACCGGCCACAUUGGGACUGAGAUACGGCCCAGACUCCUACGGGAGGCAGCAGUGGGGAAUAUUGCACAAUGGGCGGAAGCCUGAUGCAGCAACGCCGCGUGCGGGAUGACGGCCUUCGGGUUGUAAACCGCUUUCGCCUGUGACGAAGCGUGAGUGACGGUAAUGGGUAAAGAAGCACCGGCUAACUACGUG
rnacentral:rRNA from 1 species